UCCGCGGUGGCGCAAUGGUAGCGCGACGCCCUGUUAAGGCGUUUGUUGUAGGUUCGAAUCCUACCCGCGGAG
rnacentral:tRNA from 1 species